GUGACCCUAAAUGUACAUUCAAAUAAAUAAAAACAAAUUUAUACGUACGUUAAUUCAUACGUAGAAUGUAUGCACACAUGACUGUAAGUCGCUUUGGAUAAAAGCGUCAGCUAAAUGGCAUAUAUUAUUAUUAUUUUAUUAUAGGCCUCCGCAUCGCCGUGCGGACUACGAAUAGCUCCAUAUAGCUCCGCAUUAACAUGAUUGGUUGGUAGGGGGGGGGGGGGCGGUACUUCCUGUAUAAAUACAUACUUCUUUGACUACUUCCUUCGCAACAGCUCUGCUCUGCUCAGCAAGUAUGAAUGCCUCCGUAAAUGCUGUGCCGCAAAUGCAGACACCGGAAUAACCAUAAAUCUACUAAUACAGAGUACUUAUACAGUGCAUUCAGGAAGUAUUCAGGAAGUAUUCAGGAAGUAUUCAGACCCCUUGACUUUUUCCACAUUUUGUUACACCCUUACUCAAAAAAUGGAUUUAAAUAUUUUUUUCUUCGUUAAUUUACACACAAUACCCCAUAAUGACAAAGACAAAUCAUUUUUUUUUUUAGAAAUUUUAGCAAAUAUAUAAAGAAAAAUAAUCAGAAAUAUCACAUUUACAUAAGUAUUCAGACCCUUUACUCAGUACUUUGUUGAAGCACCUUUGGCAGCGAUUACAGCCUCGAGUCUUCUUGGGUAUGAACCGUCACUUGAAAACUAGUGAACCAAAGGAGACGUAAUAUAUACGCUAGUGUUGAAUGGAGCCAAAACCACUCCCUUUUCCCGGGAUAAAUACCAGCGAGAAACCGGUCAAUUAUAAUCAAAUAUUAUAAUACAUUAUUUAUAUGAACAUGACGUGCAAAUGGAAACUGUUAAAAUGAUAUAUGUGUGGAUGUCUAAAUCUGGAUUCUAUACGGCCUUCUCUUCUCGGCCUGGUCACUACAUGAUCAACGCUCAGGAUGGAAACCGACAGCUAUGGACCUAUCAUCUCAUCAUGGUGACUUUUAUUACAGUGCCUUGAGAAAGUAUUCGGCCCCCUUGAACUUUGCGACCUUUUUCCACAUUUCAGGCUUCAAACAUAAAGAUAUAAAACUGUAUUUUUUUGUGAAGAAUAAACAACAAGUGGGACACAAUCAUGAAGUGGAACAACAUUUAUUGGAUAUUUCAAACUUUUUUAACAAAUCAAAAACUGAAAAAUUGGGCGUGCAAAAUUAUUCAGCCCUUUUACUUUCAGUGCAGCAAACUCUCUCCAGAAGUUCAGUGAGGAUCUCUGAAUGAUCCAAUGAUCUCUGAAUGAUCCAAUGUUGACCUAAAUGACUAAUAAGGCACUGUAUUUACUGUGACAGGUGGACCCACGUUUCCUGCAGCAUAGGCUAUGCUACAGUAAUAUAAAAAGAGGGAAUGCGCUGUCAAAGUGACACAUCUCCAUCUGGAUGUCAUGGGGUCACCUUAUUUUUUUAAUAUAUAUUUUUUUAAAUUGUAAGGAUUAUUUUGUUUUAAAUUCCAAAGUUUUAAAACACUCAUAUAUCGUUGCUUUAAAUCAGUACACAAGCGAGUGGUCUUUCUCUCUCUCUCUCCAUCAAUUCCAUUCAAAUUGUAUCCAAAAUAGAUCAUCCUGUUCUAGAUUGAUAUACAUAGUCCUAUAUAUAUAUAUAGAUGUCCUAGCCUAUUUCUUUCAGGUAAUACAUUCAACGCAGGUUUAGUCUUAUAUUUGGCUAAUGAACGAUGGCCUUUGUUUAACUGAUAGCCUCUGUCUCUUGCGUAAUACCUAAGUCCCUGUGCUCCGCUGGCCCCUCCUUAGAUAACACUCCUGAGCUCUUGGAGUCCCAUGCAGGAAAAGAUACACUAGAUAGAAGAGCUUGCUUUUUUUGUUUUUUGUUUUUGUUACCAGUGACAGACAGGUUGCCUCCCACCAGGUUACCAGUGACAGACAGGUUGCCUCCCACCAGGUUACCAGUGACAGACAGGUUGCCUCCCACCAGGUUACCAGUGACAGACAGGUUGUGACAGACAGGUUGCCUCCCACCAGGUUACCAGUGACAGACAGGUUGUGACAGACAGGUUGCCUCCCACCAGGUUACCAGUGACAGACAGGUUGUGACAGACAGGUUGCCUCCCACCAGGUUACCAGUGACAGACAGGUUGUGACAGACAGGUUGCCUCCCACCAGGUUACCAGUGACAGACAGGUUGCCUCCCACCAGGUUACCAGUGACAGACAGGUUGCCUCCCACCAGGUUACCAGUGACAGACAGGUUGUGACAGACAGGUUGCCUCCCACCAGGUUACCAGUGACAGACAGGUUGUGACAGACAGGUUGCCUCCCACCAGGUUACCAGUGACAGACAGGUUGUGACAGACAGGUUGCCUCCCACCAGGUUACCAGUGACAGACAGGUUGUGACAGACAGGUUGCCUCCCACCAGGUUACCAGUGACAGACAGGUUGUGACAGACAGGUUGCCUCCCACCAGGUUACCAGUGACAGACAGGUUGUGACAGACAGGUUGCCUCCCACCAGGUUACCAGUGACAGACAGGUUGUGACAGACAGGUUGCCUCCCACCAGGUUACCAGUGACAGACAGGUUGCCUCCCACCAGGUUACCAGUGCUGUAGCUCUCGGUCUGGGAUUGUGACACAUAACUUGUCAUGUGUGUUAUAAGUGCAUGGAUUAUAAACGACCCAUUGUCCUCUAUGGUCUCUAU